rnacentral:misc_RNA from 1 species
GAUGAAGAACGUAGCGAAAUGCGAUAAGUAAUGUGAAUUGCAGAAUUCAGUGAAUCAUCGAAUCUUUGAACGCACAUUGCGCCCGCUAGUAUUCUGGCGGGCAUGCCUGUCCGAGCGUCAUUUCAACCCUCAAGCCCCCGGGCUUGGUGUUGGGGAUCGGCGAGCCUCCGCGCCCGCCGUCCCCUAAAUCUAGUGGCGGUCUCGCUGUAGCUUCCUCUGCGUAGUAGCACACCUCGCACUGGGAAACAGCGCUGCCACGCCGUUAAACCCCCAACUUCUGAACGUUUGACCUCGGAUCAGGUAGGAAUACCCGCUGAACUUAAGCAUAUCAAUAAGCGGAGGA